GGACCUUUGUUGGUUUGGUUUGUCUAUGAGUCGGACGAUCCCUUUUUUCCGCAUUUAUGGUUAUUGCACUUCACACUCACAGUGAAGCUGUCGAAUUCCAUUUAGCCAUUUCGUUUACAACCACCGAACCUUUCUCGUGAAUCCGUAACUCACUUCAUUUUUAAUGCAGUUUUGUGAAAUUGUGCCAUUCAGCGUGGGUUGAAUUUACACUAGGUAAGUUAAUAUAAUUCUAAUGAAGUAAUCAUUUUAAUUUUUACAUGCUUCUGUUGUUUUUGAUAACUGUACGUAAAUAACAACAACAGUUUUUUCAGACAAGCUGGAAAUACCACCAUUAAUCACUGAAGAUUCUCCCGCUGGUUUUGAAGAACUUACGGUGAUUGUUUUUGAGAGUGAGGCGCUUUGCCAUAACAUGUUGCAAAGACUUGAAACAAAUACAAAAAAUAUGUGCGAAAUAAAAGAAAUUCUAAAGGAAACGAGUGAACAAAUCUCCAAUAUGAAAACGUCAUCAAAUGUGACAAAUCAAAAAGAAAACAGUAAUAGAAGAUAUGCCGCCAAGACCACAAGUAAACAAAUUUUGAGGAAUUAGAAGAUUAUCUCUGCCUACUACAACAAGCAGGUUUCUUUGGACUGCUAUUGUCCCAGAUAGGUGGUAAUGGGAAAAAGAACAAUGAGGGGCGUAUAUUAAAAAAAAAAAAAAAUCAGUGAAUUUGCUGUAGCUUGUUUGUUCGGUAGGAAAAUUCCAAAAUGGCUGGGACAAAAACAAUGAAUAUUAUGAAAGAAAUUACAAUGAAGACCCAUUCCGCAAUAGAAAAAGAAGUAGAACAACGCUGCUCAGAGUGGCUACGGCAUUCUAGUCAACGCCUGAAGAAAGAAAAAACAACGACAGUUUAUAGUUUCUGUGUCUUUUUUUAAGUGUAAAUUAUAUUGUAUUAUUUUCGAAUUAGGAAA